rnacentral:sRNA from 1 species
AUCUCUAUGGCUGUCAGAGGUGGGCGGCUUUGACCGAGAAGCUGCUGGAGCUCGUGUUUGGACGCGAUGUUUCGUCUGAACUCACUUUCUGCUUUGGCAGAACUGGCUGUGGGUUCUCGAUGGUACCAUGGAGGAUCACAGCCCAUCCAGAUCCGGCGAAGACUAAUGAUGGUGGCUUUCCUGGGAGCAUCUGCAGUAACUGCAAGUACUGGUCUUUUGUGGAAGAGGGCCCAUGCAGAAUCUCCACCAUGUGUAGACAACCUAAAAAGUGACAUCGGUGAUAAAGGGAAGAAUAAAGAUGAAGGGGAUGUUUGUAACCAUGAGAAAAAGACUGCAGAUCUUGCGCCUCACCCAGAAGAGAAAAAGAAGAAGCGUUCUGGAUUCAGAGACAGAAAAGUAUGAAACAUAGUCUUAUAAGUUGAUCAGAAGUAUAUCUUAAAGUAGAAUAAUGCAGUUCAAUCUUUUUAAUCAUAUGUUUCAGAUGGUUCAUCUUCACUUUCAAGUUAUCACUUCUUUGCUAUUUUCUAUCAUGUUCUAAGCCAAAAGUACUCUUGGAAUGUGAGGUUAAAGGAGGUAGUUA